rnacentral:rRNA from 13 species
GAGCUGGGUUCAGAACGUCGUGAGACAGUUCGGUCCCUAUCUGUUGCGAGCGUUGGAAAUUUGAGAGGCGCUGACCCUAGUACGAGAGGACCGGGUUGGACGAACCGCUGGUGUACCGGUUGUGGUGCCAACUGCACUGCCGGGUAGCUACGUUCGGAAGAGAUAAGCGCUGAAAGCAUCUAAGUGCGAAACUCCCCUCAAGAUGAGACUUCUUUAAAGGGACGUCAAAGACUAUGACGUUGAUAGGCUGCAGGUGUAAAGCUAGAGAUAGCAAAGCUGAGCAG